rnacentral:lncRNA from 1 species
GCCUCGCCUGGGACCGGAGGUUUUCCGCCGCCACUGUGAAUUCGCGUUGGCAUCCGUGUCGUGUUCCUUGGGCUGGGGCAGGGAGCUAUGCUUCGUCUUCCUGGGGUUGUCGGUCGUCUUCGCGACAAGAAGGGACCACUCGGCUGAUGGUAAUUCCUCACCGGAAUUGCAGCACCGCCGCGCCAUCGCACUGCUCCGUGGGCUGGGGUCUCGACUGGUCGUACCGAGGUGAUUAACCACUUCAUAGCUCUAUUUUUCCAUCUCCUUCGCGUAGUUUUGCCUGAUUUGAACUUAGAGGUCUGGGUCGCCGACUUUGGGUGCGCCGGUGAGCUCCACGGCCGCAGGGAUUCCGGCGGCUCUGCCCUGGCAGCAUCGGGGUAGGGAGAUGGGUCGUGAUCGUAUGCCCCCUCCGACGGCUUAGAUUAGAUCCCGUGCGCUGAUAGGGUGGAAAGUGUGCUGGACCGUUUGAUCGGGAUCGAGGGGUCCGAGUUGUAUUUGCGUAAUUAAAUCCUGGCCGUGUAUUGCGGAUCCGAGGGCGGGUAUCGCGUACCGGUUCGCAGAGUGGGUAAUCUAAUCCGAGCCACAAGAUCUAUAUCCUACGGAUGAUAAUAGAGAAUACCCUUUCACGACGCUAAUCUUACAAAAGAGACCCCCCUAUUAUUUUAGAUUGAACUCGUAGUCCUAUGUCAGGGUCGCAUGUGUCUGGGAUUUAUUUGCGCCAGAGUCCCUGCCCUUUUCUGAAUUUGAGGCCCAGUCCAGGAAAUUAAGAAAUUCAAGAAACUAAAUAGAAAAUAGAUUAUUAAUAUAUUAAUAAGUGCUAGAAUUUUUAAAAUUCAUAGAAAAUUUAUUUGUAGUCCAAAUUACCCCCAUUCCAGUUUCUAAAAUUUUGUAAUAUUAUUUUCUAUCAGCUAGAGUCUCUGUUUUGGCAUGAAAACAGUAAGAAAAUUAAUACCUCACUUAAUCCUAUUUCAAGCACAUAAAACAUUUGGAAAUUAUUAUGUGUAGAUUAUAUUUUAAUGUGUAGAUUAUUAUUAUGUAUUUUGUUUACAUGUUUGGUGUGAUGUUAAUUUUCUCUAUAUACUGUGCUUGGUUGUAUUGUGGCGAGUAGAAGAGCCUGUGACUGAGGAUCCUAGUGAGCAGCAGAUAGAAG